rnacentral:sRNA from 2 species
CCCAAAAGAACGAGAUAAAAGGAUAGCCAUGAUGUCAUUUGAGCUGUUUUUCACAGUUUGCCAGUCAUAUUGGGUGUUGGCACGGCUGAUGAUGGGACACUCAGCUAGGUGGACCCGGCUUUGUUAACUAGUUAUCUGUUUCAUGCCGAAAUCCCAGCGCUCGGCUAUCCUCAUUGCCGGCCUCCAGACUUCACCCCUAUUGUUUACCACAGGACGUCGGCAUUUCUAUUAGUAGCAAUAAAAAAUGCGGAGCCUGCAUCAAAUGGGAGCAGGAAAUAAUUACCAUCCGGAAACGUACAUGUGCUGGGAGAUUGUGCAUUGAGGAUCACAAAAUGAGAUUCGAGCGGACGGAUUUCUUUACCCCACACACUGGUGACAAUAUCCUUCCAUUGUCUCCGUUCUUUUCAAGAUUCUUCGGUACGCUCACCGGAAAUCGCGGCGUAUAGCAAUUAGGGAUGUUAGUCUUUCAAUCGAGAAAACGUACUUUGAGUUUCUCAGUGGCAUGCUUGCUGGACAGAAUGUACUGUGGUCAAGUCUUUCGCUGGAAAUCAUGAAAGUAUUGUGGGCUGGUAAAGAUAUAUACACAUUGCACUUAUUGCCCCCGGCAGUUAUGAGUAUGCUGUUAGAUUUGUUGUGACAUGCGCCCUGGGCGCCGUGGUGGUCCCUAUGA